ACAAAGCCAACGCGCACCUCACUACCGGCCAUUCAUUACAAACAUCCAACGCGAAUCGCAAUGCAGUCGCGGCACUAGCAAUUCCAAAUUCAAAAUUAUCAAACUCGCGCGCCCGCGUUUUUCAAUUUUGACAAGCUGUCAUAUUGCGCGCGACAAGUAAUUGUGUUUUUUUUUUCAGUAUAUAAACAGCCAAGCUAUACAGCAUGUCCCAUAAUUGCAAGUCGACGUACGCUACAGCGACGACGCGCGACGCAAACAACAACACCCUUUAUCAUGGCGGCCCCACCCCGGGCUUCGGCAGUAGGGGUUAUAACCCACCCAACGUCACUGGCAAUGGAAACUAUCAGCAAGUGACGGCGAAAGUGCUUUUCGGCAGCGUGACGGCGAUCAAUGACCUCAAGCGGCAGGAGAAGACCGGGCGAGAUGAGCGGCGGAAGCACUAGCGACAUCUAUCAAUGGAUUAUGCACAUGUGAUACAAAGAUACAAAUGGAAGCUAAGGACAUGAUCUCGGAAAAGAGUUUUAUUGACAACUUUAAUAUUUUGUUGUAAUGUAACCUAGAAUAAAAAAUAAUAGAUUUUUUUUAAAUUCGAGACCUUCUAAUGGAACAAAUUUCUAAUCAAAAACAAAAAUAAUUAAUUCAAUCGGCAAAAAACCCACACGUAGCAUUCCUGUAAUAAAAU